UUGUAGUUUUUUUUUUUUUUUUGGUGAAUUCAUUUUCUCAUUCCUGAUAUAUGCAAAUAGAAAAAUGCCAACUGUUCAAAAGUAUAGCUACUAAAUGAAAGGGACAGAAGUUAAGAAAUUGAAUGGGAAGUCACACUUUUAUGUUGGGUGGUGAAGUGGAAAGGCUGUCGAUAUUGAAGGAUUGUAGUAAACAAGAGAGAUGAAUGGAUGAGAUGUUCAUGUUUGUACUUAAUUGAAGCCUUAUGUUCAUGUCCUUCUUUUAUGUUUUCCAUAGUAAGCAUUCUCCCUUCCCCCUUUCCUCCCUCGGAGACUGGCCUAGAUUUCCUUCUGUUCCAGGUAGAAAAAAUAAAAUAAAAUCAUGCAACCUGCGGUUCUACAUUUGAUAAAAUAAUCUAUCUUCCACCUGGUAAUGGUAUGCAGAAGCAUCCUGCGGUUCGGAAGAAGGGAAAAAAAAAAAAAA
rnacentral:misc_RNA from 1 species